UGGCGGGGGACAACCUUCCGAAAGGAUGGCUAAUACCGCAUAAGUCGGCUGAAUCUAUGAUUUGGUCGGGAAAGGGGGGUCGCAAGAUCUCUCACCAUGAGACGAGCCCGCGUCCCAUCAUGCUAGUUGGUGAGGUAAUGGCUCACCAAGGCUUAGACGGGUAGCUGGUCUGAGAGGAUGAUCAGCCACACUGGAACUGCGACACGGUCCAG
rnacentral:rRNA from 1 species